rnacentral:rRNA from 1 species
GUGAGGAAUUUUCCGCAAUGGGCGAAAGCCUGACGGAGCAAUGCCGCGUGAAGGAUGAAGGCCUAUGGGUUGUAAACUUCUUUUCUCAGAAAAGAAUUAUGACGGUAUCUGAGGAAUAAGCAUCGGCUAACUCUGUGCCAGCAGCCGCGGUAAGACAGAGGAUGCAAGCGUUAUCCGGAAUGAUUGGGCGUAAAGCGUCUGUAGGUUGUUUAAAAAGUAUUCUGUCAAAGAUUAGGGCUUAACCCUAGAUAGGCAGAAUAAACUUUUAGGCUAGAGUUUGGUAGAGGCAGAGGGAAUUCCCGGUGGAGCGGUGAAAUGCGUAGAUAUCGGGAGGAACACCAAAGGCGAAGGCACUCUGCUGGGCCAAUACUAACACUGAGAGACGAAAGCGAGGGGAGCAAAUGGGAUUAGAUACCCGGGUAGUCC